UACAGAGGUCUCAAGCGUUGUUCGGAUUCAUUGGGCGUAAAGGGUGUGUAGGUGGCGCCGUAAGUCGGGUGUGAAAUUUCGGAGCUUAACUCCGGAACUGCAUUCGAUACUGCGGUGCUUGAGGACUGGAGAGGAGACUGGAAUUCAUGGUGUAGCAGUGAAAUGCGUAGAGAUCAGGAGGAAGACCAGUGGCGAAGGCGGGUCUCUGGACAGUUCCUGACACUGAGACACGAAGGCGAGGGGAGCAAACGGG
rnacentral:rRNA from 1 species